AUGCUGACCCUAAACAGAAUGGAUGUUUACCGCAUUUUAUAAACAAGCAUUUACUUGAAAUCAGGUGAUGAUUUAUUUAAAAUCAGGCGAUAAUUUACUUGAAAUCAGGCAAUGACUUACUCGAAAUCAGGCCAUGAUUUAUUUCAAAUCAGGCGAUGAUUAACUUGAAAUCAGGUGAUGAUUUAUUUCAAAUCAGGCGAUGAUUAACUUAAAAUCAGGUGAUUAUUUACUCAAAAUAAGGUGGUGAUUUGCUUGAAAUCUGAUGAUGAUUCACUUGAAAUCAAGCGAUGAUUUACUUGAAAUCUGGCGAUGAGUCACUUUAAUUCAGAAGAUGAUUUACUUGAAAUCAGGUGAUUAUAUGCUUAAAAUCAGGAGAUUUACUUGAAAUCAGGCGAUGAUUUACUUACAAUUAGUUGAUGAUUUACCUGAAAUCAGGUGAGGAUUUACUUGAAAUCAGGUAAUAAUUUACUUGAAAUCGGAUGAUGAUUCAUUUAAAAUCAAGCGAUGAUUUACUUGAAAUCACGCGAUGAUUCACUUGAAAUCGGGUAAUGGUUUAAUUAAAGUUGGGUGAUGAUUCACUUGAAAUCAGGCGAUGAUUUACUUGAAAUCAGGUGAUAAUUUACUUGAAAUCGGGUAAUAAUUUACUUCAAAUCAAGUGAUGAUUUAAUUAAAAUCGGGUGAUGAGUUACUUGAAAUGAGGUGAUGAUCUACUUUAAAUGAGGUGAUGAUCUACUUGAAAUCAGGUGAUAAUUUACUUGAAAUCAGGUGAUGAUUCACUUAAAAUCAGGUGAUAAUGUAAUUAAAAUCGGGUGAUAAUUUACUUGAAAUCAGGUGAUGAUUCACUUAAAAUCAGGUGAUAAUGUAAUUAAAAUCGGGUGAUGAUUCACUUGAAAUUAGGUGAUGAUUUAAUUAAAAUCAGGUGAUGAUUCACUUGACAUCAGGUGAUCUACUUGACAUCAGGUGAUGAUCUACUUGACAUCAGGUGAUGAUCUACUUGAAAUCAGGUGAUUACUCCCGCGACAGGGGCGAAAGAAGCGACCCGUGUUCCGUUUAUUUGCCGCCGAUUUUCCUACGCCACAGACGUCCUCAGUUUCGUUUGCAAAAGAUUGGCCUCUUGUUGUUGUCGUCGUUGACGUCUCAUUUGCAUAAUCAUCAUGGCGCAUGUGCAUAUAUUUUUACAAAAGGCUGGUUAUGAACAUUUAUUUGUGCAACAACUUCUUUGUUACUCUUCACUAAUAAAAACGUGCUUAUUUAUAUUUA